GGGUCUUUCUUCUUCUCAGGAAA
rnacentral:tRNA from 1 species